UACGUAGGGUGCAAGCGUUAAUCGGAAUUACUGGGCGUAAAGCGUGCGCAGGCGGUUCGCUAAGACAGAUGUGAAAUCCCCGGGCUUAACCUGGGAACUGCAUUUGUGACUGGCGGGCUAGAGUAUGGCAGAGGGGGGUAGAAUUCCACGUGUAGCAGUGAAAUGCGUAGAGAUGUGGAGGAAUACCGAUGGCGAAGGCAGCCCCCUAGGACAAUACUGACGCUCAUGCACGAAAGCGUGGGGAGCAAACAGG
rnacentral:rRNA from 1 species